rnacentral:rRNA from 1 species
UACGUAGGCAGCGAGCGUUGUUCGGAGUUACUGGGCGUAAAGCGUGCGUAGGCGGUUGUCUAAGUCUGGUGUGAAAUCUCCCGGCUCAACUGGGAGGGUGCGCCGGAAACUGGAUGACUGGAGUGCCGGAGAGGUAAGCGGAAUUCCUGGUGUAGCGGUGAAAUGCGUAGAGAUCAGGAGGAACACCUGUGGUGUAGACAGCUUACUGGACGGUGACUGACGCUGAGGCACGAAAGCGUGGGUGGCAAACAGG